rnacentral:rRNA from 1 species
UACGGGGGGGCAAGCGUUGUUCGGAAUUACUGGGCGUAAAGGGCUCGUAGGUGGCCAACUAAGUCAGACGUGAAAUCCCUCGGCUUAACCGGGGAACUGCGUCUGAUACUGGAUGGCUUGAGUUCGGGAGAGGGAUGCGGAAUUCCAGGUGUAGCGGUGAAAUGCGUAGAUAUCUGGAGGAACACCGGUGGCGAAGGCGGCAUCCUGGACCGGCACUGACACUGAGGAGCGAA